CGUAGGACCCAAGCGUUAUCCGGAGUGACUGGGCGUAAAGAGUUGCGUAGGUGGCUUGUAAAGUGAAUAGUGAAAUCUGGGGGCUCAACCUCACAGGCUAUUAUUCAAACUCACAAGCUCGAGAGUAGCAGAGGUAACUGGAAUUUCUGAAGUAGGGGUAAUAUCCGUAGAUAUCAGAAGGAACACCAAUGGCGUAGGCAGGUUACUGGGCUAUUUCUGACACUGAGGCACGAAAGCGUGGGAGCGAACCGGAUU
rnacentral:rRNA from 1 species